UACGGAGGGGGCUAGCGUUGUUCGGAAUUACUGGGCGUAAAGCGCACGUAGGCGGCUUUGUAAGUUAGAGGUGAAAGCCCAGGGCUCAACCCUGGAAUUGCCUUUAAGACUGCAUCGCUUGAACAUCGGAGAGGUAAGUGGAAUUCCGAGUGUAGAGGUGAAAUUCGUAGAUAUUCGCAAGAACACCAGUGGCGAAGGCGGCUCACUGGCCCGGUACUGACGCUGAGGUGCGAAAGCGUGGGGAUCAAACAGG
rnacentral:rRNA from 1 species